AAUGAACGCUGGCGGCAGGCCUAACACAUGCAAGUCGAACGGACCCUUCGGGGUUAGUGGCGGACGGGUGAGUAACGCGUGGGAACGUGCCCUUUGGUUCGGAAUAGCCUCGGGAAACUGGGAGUAAUACAGGAUAAGCCCUUCGGGGGAAAGAUUUAUCGCCGAAGGAUCGGCCCGCGUUGGAUUAGGUAGUUGGUUGGGUAAUGGCCUACCAAGCCGACGAUCCAUAGCUGGUUUGAGAGGAUGAUCAGCCACACUGGGACUGAGACACGGCCCAGACUCCUACGGGAGGCAGCAGUGGGGAAUCUUAGACAAUGGGGGAAACCCUGAUCUAGCCAUGCCGCGUGAUCGAUGAAGGCCUUAGGGUUGUAAAGAUCUUUCAGAUGGGAAGAUAAUGACGGUACCAUCAGAAGAAGCCCCGGCUAACUCCGUGCCAGCAGCCGCGGUAA
rnacentral:rRNA from 1 species